rnacentral:tRNA from 1 species
GGUAAGGUGGCUCAGUGGUAAAGUGCUUGCCUCAGAUGCAUGAGGCACUGGGUUCAAUUCCUCAGCACCA